CCUACGGGUGGCAGCAGUGAGGAAUAUUGGUCAAUGGGCGGGAGCCUGAACCAGCCAAGUCGCGUGAAGGAAGAAGGUACUUAGUAUUGUAAACUUCUUUUGUCGGGGAACAAAGGCGGAGACGCGUCUCCGGAUGAGUGUACCCGAAGAAAAAGCAUCGGCUAACUCCGUGCCAGCAGCCGCGGUAAUACGGAGGAUGCGAGCGUUAUCCGGAUUUAUUGGGUUUAAAGGGUGCGCAGGCGGGAGAUCAAGUCAGCGGUAAAAUGUCGGGGCUCAACCCCGGCCGGCCGUUGAAACUGGUUUUCUAGAGUUGGAGAGAAGUAUGCGGAAUUCGUGGUGUAGCGGUGAAAUGCAUAGAUAUCACACAGAACACCGAUUGCGAAGGCAUCUCACGAAUCCGCGAUUGACGCUGAUGCACGAAAGCGUGGGUAUCGAACAGGAUUAGAUACCCGGGUAGUC
rnacentral:rRNA from 1 species